rnacentral:rRNA from 1 species
AUGGAUUAAGAGCUUGCUCUUAUGAAGUUAGCGGCGGACGGGUGAGUAACACGUGGGUAACCUACCCAUAAGACUGGGAUAACUCCGGGAAACCGGGGCUAAUACCGGAUAAUAUUUUGAACUGCAUAGUUCGAAAUUGAAAGGCGGCUUCGGCUGUCACUUAUGGAUGGACCCGCGUCGCAUUAGCUAGUUGGUGAGGUAACGGCUCACCAAGGCGACGAUGCGUAGCCGACCUGAGAGGGUGAUCGGCCACACUGGGACUGAGACACGGCCCAGACUCCUACGGGAGGCAGCAGUAGGGAAUCUUCCGCAAUGGACGAAAGUCUGACGGAGCAACGCCGCGUGAGUGAUGAAGGCUUUCGGGUCGUAAAACUCUGUUGUUAGGGAAGAACAAGUGCUAGUUGAAUAAGCUGGCACCUUGACGGUACCUAACCAGAAAGCCACGGCUAACUACGUGCCAGCAGCCGCGGUAAUACGUAGGUGGCAAGCGUUAUCCGGAAUUAUUGGGCGUAAAGCGCGCGCAGGUGGUUUCUUAAGUCUGAUGUGAAAGCCCACGGCUCAACCGUGGAGGGUCAUUGGAAACUGGGAGACUUGAGUGCAGAAGAGGAAAGUGGAAUUCCAUGUGUAGCGGUGAAAUGCGUAGAGAUAUGGAGGAACACCAGUGGCGAAGGCGACUUUCUGGUCUGUAACUGACACUGAGGCGCGAAAGCGUGGGGAGCAAACAGGAUUAGAUACCC